rnacentral:tRNA from 1 species
GGGGUUAUAGCUCAGUUGGUAGAGUACCUCAAUGGCAUUGAGGGGGUCAGCGGUUCGAAUCCGCUUAGCUCCA